rnacentral:miRNA from 1 species
CCAGGCUCUCUCCUCUACGCCCCUAUCUCGCUACCUCGAGGUAGGAGCGUAGAGGAGAGAGCCUGGGU